rnacentral:lncRNA from 1 species
GGCCGCCGCAGCGGCUGCAGCGCCGGCGGGACCCGCCGUGCCCUCCCGCCGCCUCGCCCGCACGGAGCGCGGAUUGUGCAACCUGGGAAAUGUUACUGCAAUUUAAUUAACUUCAGAAAGUGUAUUCUGGACUGAAUUGACCAGACCUCCUAUUCUAUG